AGUGAACGCUGGCGGCGUGCCUAAUACAUGCAAGUCGAACGGAGUGGCGCACGGGUGAGUAAUAUAUAGCUAAUCUGCCCCUUGCUGGAGGACAACAGUUAGAAAUGACUGCUAAUACUCCAUAGAAAGGGAUGAGACUAUAUCGUAUCAGCUAGUCGGUGGGGUAACGGCCUACCGAGGCUAUGACGCGUAACUGGUCUGAGAGGAUGAUCAGUCAAAUUGGAACUGAGGCAUGGUGGAAGCACCUACGGGAAGCAGCAGAAGGGAAUAGUGCGCAAUGGGCGAGAACCUGACGGAGCAACGGGGCGUAGAGGACGACACUUUUCGGAGCGUAAACUCAUUUUGUUAUGAAAGCGGUACCUAACGAAUAAGCACCGGCUAACUCCGUGCCAGCAGCCGCGGUAAUAC
rnacentral:rRNA from 1 species